GGUAGAGAAAAAAGUCAGAGAGAAGACCAGUUGUGCCUUCAGUUCCUUGUGAAGACUGCUUUGAGCAUUUUUGUAGUUUGAUUUGCAUUGAAUUCACAGAGUCACUGGGGAACUAAAAGGGCAAAUAAGGAGCGUGACUCUGAGGCAGACAGAUAGCGAGGCUGGCCGUGGUGUCUGGUGGCAGUGGUGGACUCGAGGAGGGCUGUGGUGGGGUUGCAUCAUUGAUGACUAAACAGCCAUUCAGCUCAGGCCUGUGAUAACGUGCCAGUGCCCAGGAUUUCAACAGCAGUCUGAAACCCUGGAGCCACAGAGUAGGGCAGGCCUGGUCUCGCUCGGGCUCAGGCUCAAACUUAAACUGAAGAAAAGGGAGAGGCCAACAUCCAGUUCCUUCUGCACUCAUUGCCAGCCCCCCAACCUUAUAGGCUUUCUCAUGAAUCAUAGAGUUCCAAUUGCCUCCUCUGCACCAGGUAGGGUCAGCCUCCAUCCUGAAGCUUCACAGGGAAAAUAAAGCACUCAGUGUUCCUGCAAUAAACACACUUUGCAUUACUUUGGGAAAACUGUGAUGAAUCAUAACCUCAGACUGUAAGUUAACACGGCCAUGUAAUGUAUAUUUGUCUUAUAAUCAAGACACUUUCUGCAAGAAUAUUCCAUGUGUUCUAUCCUUCAUUCCACCGGAGUCUGUAUCUGUAUUUAACCAGAUUUCAGUGGUGUGAAGUAUAAGAGACAUGGGGAUGCGGCUUCACAAGCUAACAGUUACUAUACCAGAAAAAAGUCAAAGAAGUAACUAAUUUUGUUGAAUUUUGACUGCAUUAUGAAUGUUGGAAACUAUAUGAUCUUUGUUGUCUAUGUUCUUUUCAUGCUUUAUGUGGUAUAUGGAAUGUAGUAUAUUGUAUGUAUUGUCCUUGUGACAUAAUAGAACAAAAUAUAUUAUGCAUGUAUUUUCAAUAAGAUACUGUACUGAGCAACUCACUAAUAUGAAUAAAUUGCCUGACCUUGUG